rnacentral:rRNA from 1 species
AUUGUAGUAGCAGUGAAGAUGCUGUUUACCCGCGAAAGGACGACAAGACCCCGUGAACCUUUACUGUACUUUGGUAUUGAUUUUUGGUUUGUUAUGUGUAGGAUAGCCAGGAGACUAAGAACACUCUUCUUCAGGAGAGUGGGAGUCAACGUUGAAAUACUGGUCUUAACAAGCUGGGAAUCUAACAUUAUUCCAUGAAUCUGGAAGAUGGACAUUGCCAGACGGGCAGUUUUACUGGGGCGGUAUCCUCCUAAAAAGUAACGGAGGAGCCCAAAGCUUAUUUCAUCGUGGUUGGCAAUCACGAGUAGAGCGUAAAGGUAUAAGAUAGGUUGACUGCAAGACCAACAAGUCGAGCAGAGACGAAAGUCGGGCUUAGUGAUCCGGCGGUGGAAAGUGGAAUCGCCGUCGCUUAACGGAUAAAAGGUACUCCGGGGAUAACAGGCUGAUCGCCACCAAGAGUUCAUAUCGACGUGGCGGUUUGGCACCUCGAUGUCGGCUCAUCGCAUCCUGGGGCUGGAGAAGGUCCCAAGGGUUUGGCUGUUCGCCAAUUAAAGCGGUACGCGAGCUGGGUUCAAAACGUCGUGAGACAGUUUGGUCCCUAUCCUUCGUGGGCGCAGGAUACUUGAGAGGAGCUGUUCCUAGUACGAGAGGACCGGAAU